rnacentral:rRNA from 1 species
GACGAACGCUGGCGGCGUGCCUAAUACAUGCAAGUCGAGCGGACUUGACAGAGCUUGCUCUGUUCAAGUUAGCGGCGGACGGGUGAGUAACACGUGGGCAACCUGCCCUGCAGAUUGGGAUAACUCCGGGAAACCGGGGCUAAUACCGAAUAACAUGGAAAACCUCAUGGUUUUCUUUUAAAAGGCGGCUUCGGCUGUCACUGCAGGAUGGGCCCGCGGCGCAUUAGCUAGUUGGUGAGGUAACGGCUCACCAAGGCGACGAUGCGUAGCCGACCUGAGAGGGUGAUCGGCCACACGGGGACUGAGACACGGCCCAGACUCCUACGGGAGGCAGCAGUAGGGAAUCUUCCGCAAUGGACGAAAGUCUGACGGAGCAACGCCGCGUGAGUGAAGAAGGUUUUCGGAUCGUAAAACUCUGUUGUUAGGGAAGAACAAGUACCGGAGUAACUGCCGGUACCUUGACGGUACCUGACCAGAAAGCCACGGCUAACUACGUGCCAGCCGCCGCAGUAAUAC